GACAGAGGGUGCAAACGUUGCUCGGAAUCACUGGGCAUAAAGCGCACGUAGGUGGCCAAGUAAGUGCGGUGUGAAAGCCCCCGGCCCAACCGGGGAAUUGCGCCGCAAACUGCCUGGCUGGAGCUUGAGAGGGGAGAGUGGAACUCCUGGUGGAGCGGUGGAAUGCGUAGAUAUCAGGAGGAACGCCGGAGGUGAAGACGACUCUCUGGCUCAAUGCUGACACUGAGGUGCGAAAGCUAGGGGAGCAAACAGG
rnacentral:rRNA from 1 species